ensembl:snoRNA LOC120101330 small nucleolar RNA SNORA17
UUUGCUACAGAGGCAUUGCAGGUGUGGCUGCUCUUUCCCAUGCGUGUCAGUAAGCGGCAGAAAGGACAGAGGCUAUGUCUAUGUUCAAUGUUCUGACCUGCAAACAGAGGAAUGAUUAGCAGCCUAAAUG